rnacentral:rRNA from 1 species
UACGUAGGGUGCAAGCGUUGUCCGGAAUUAUUGGGCGUAAAGAGCUCGUAGGCGGUUCGUCGCGUCGGCUGUGAAAUCCCGAGGCUCAACCUCGGGUCUGCAGUCGAUACGGGCGGACUGGAGUUCGGCAGGGGAGACUGGAAUUCCUGGUGUAGCGGUGAAAUGCGCAGAUAUCAGGAGGAACACCGGUGGCGAAGGCGGCGAUCUGGGUCGAUACUGACGCUGAGGUGCGAAAGCGUGGGGAGCAAACAGG